CAGCAGAGACAUUUAAAAGCUGAGAUGUUGCUUCUGUCUACCUAUAGGAGAUAUUACAGGUACAUACUAAAUAUGCUUCAAUAUUCAAAAUCUGAGUAAGCAAGAAAACUCUCAGUGUUGCUUU